rnacentral:tRNA from 1 species
GGGAGCGUAGCUCAGCUGGUUAGAGCACCUGCUUUACACGCAGGGGGUCACAGGUUCGAGUCCUGUUGUUCCCACCA